rnacentral:rRNA from 1 species
AUGGCCGCCGCUACUUGGGCGGCGUUAGGCUUGCUCCUAACCAUGGUGAGCUGGUUCUUCGCGCCCCUCAUCGCCUCUUUCAUCACCAAGUUCACUGCCCGCUUCGGGGCCGACACAUCCAAGAAGCUCAAGCAUCUGGAGAUCACCAUCCUCCAGGAGCUGGAGAAUACGCUGCCUCAGUUAGAUGAGGCGAGGGUUGUGGAGAGAGGAAAGACAUCAUCGGAAUUGUCCAGGCUCCACGAGCUGGCCGCCAUGCUGAGGCACGCUCAGGAGGAUGCGGAAGACAUCUUGCAUGAUCACCAGGCCAUCAAGCUGUACCGCAACAGGUGGAUUGAGCGCCUGUGCACCAUGUCCACAUGCGUCGCUUGUUUCACCUGGAUCUGCGUGUGGAUUGCACGCAUCGUCUCGGGUGGGUCGGCAUGGCUACUGCAGUGGUUCAUGGGGCCCGGCCUGGUGGCUACAGCUGCAGUUCAGGCGACUGCUGUAGUUCAGGCUACUGCUACAGUUCUGGCGGCCUCUGUCCGCAGCGGAUCCAGUCGGCUACUUCCCGUGACUAAUUUCAGUGCUAUGGCACCCUCAUCCAGCUACUUUGGCGUCUUCAAGAACCUUUGUAGAUCCACAAUCAACCGGUUACUGUCUGUGUAUAAUGAAGCCUGCUUGCAACGAAACUCGUGCCUCAAGGGGGUUGGCAUCACAAGCAAACAGGGUAUAAUAGAUUGUGUCAUUACUGCUAUCUCAAGACAUAACUUGAAGAAAAGAAUAGAUGAGGUAGAAAGUACCGUCAAUGAUGUGAAGAAGUCAGCAGCCUUGAUCAUAAGCAAGAGCACACUGGAUGUGUCCUCGGAAGAAAAGAGCACACUGGAUGUCUCCUCCGGAAAAAAAAGCACACUGGACAUCUCCUCAGAAGAAAACAGUAGACCGGAUAUUGUCAAGGAGAAAAGGAGUGAAAUUAGAACUGCUAGCAACCAUGAUGUGUUUGGUCUAAAGAAGUUCCGUCAAUCUAUCAUGAGAAAGCUCCGCAUGGCACCACAGAGGUCGAGUACUAGCUCUUGUUACUCUGCGAUUGGCAUAUAUGGUCUUUCAGGGUCAGGGAAGACUACCUUUGCAAGGUAUAUUCAAGACCACAUAAAGAAGGAAUGCAAGGAUAAGAAAGUUUUCCACACCAUCAUGUGCAUUCAUGUCUCAAAUAAAUUCGAUGUGAAGGAAAUUUUCCAAAAUAUGCUAAAGGACAUUACCAAUGAUCUCAACGCCAAUAUUUCAGAUCCUGUCGAGCUAGAAAAGAAGUUGGAGGAAUCAUUGGAAGGCAAACGUUUCUUCUUAAUAUUGGAUGAUUUCUGGGUGGUGGACAAGAACAACAAGGAUCUGAAGAAACUAAUCUCUGUGCUCAAGGUUGGGCGGAAAGGAAGCAAAAUCCUGGUGACGGCUCAAACAAAGGCUGCAGCUGGAACUCUAUGUGAAUUUGACGACGAACCUGUUCGAAUGCCUGUUUUGAGUGAGGAUCAAUGUUUGGCGAUCCUUAUGCAUUAUGCACUAGGUGACACAAGUGUUGUUGAUCGAGAUGGCUUUGAACGAGCUGGGAGGGAUAUCGUGAAAAAGAUAGGCAGAUCACCUAUUGCAGCAGCAAUAGUGGCAGUACGACUUGGGGCAGAACGAGACAUUAAAGUUUGGGAAAAUACUGCAAAUCUUGACAUGUUGAGUGACACCAGGGCAGCUUUGUGGUGGAGCUAUAAGCAGUUUACUCCAGACAUCAGGCGGUGUUUUGAAUACUGCAAUAUUUUCUCAAAAGGAAUUGCGUUAGAAAAAGGGGAUGUAGUUAGCCUGUGGACAGCGCAAGGGUUUGUUAAGACCAAUGGAAACGAGGACAUGGAAGCUGUAGCUGAGAGCUACUUUCAAGCGUUACUGUCAUUCUCAUUUCCGAAACAUGAAGAAGAUAAGUGGGGUGGUGAUUUCUAUAGAAUUCAUGAUAUGCUGCAUGAUUUAGUAAACUACAUCACUAAAGGUGAUUGCUUCAGAAUCGAGUAUGCAACUGGAGAGACAGUAGAAGACAAGGAACAAGUUGUCCCUCGAGAUGUCCGCCAUCUGUUUUUUCUGAACUAUGAUGCAGAAUUGAUCAAGAAGGAGAUCGAUGGAUUGGACAACUUACGAACUCUCAUCAUUUAUAGUGUUAAGCCGGAUAGACCAGUUGAGGAAGAAGUCAUGGAGAAUAUAUGCAAGUAUUGUCCAAAACUGCGGGUACUGGCUGUUGCUUUCGGCGGUCAAAUUCACAAACCAGAGAAGUUCUCGUUCCCAGAGUCUAUUAGCCGGCUAAAGCGGCUAUGUUAUCUUGCUUUCAGGACUGGCUAUUCAUGUGAGGUAAUUUGUCCAAGCGCAUUUGCUGAACUUUGGCAUAUCCGAAUGCUAUAUUUCGGCCAUGCCCUACUAUGUAACAUAGGCAGGCUGACCUCACUGCAAGAGAUGGCAGAGUUCAGAGUGAUGGAUAAAGCAGGGUACGAGCUACAUCAGCUUGGGGGCCUGGACAAGCUUCGCGGUACACUGGCGAUUGUUUGCCUUGAUAAUGUUAAUAGCCAGGAUGAAGCAGUUAAAGCCAAUUUAUCCGUCAAGAAAGGGCUCAGAAAGCUUACACUGAAGUGGCAAUGUUAUGAACUAUCCCAGGUAGUCCAACCAGACCAUGUACUUGAGAUCCUGUGCCCUCCCAUGAAGCUUCAAGAACUGGAAAUCUAUAACUACAAUGCCUCAGCGUACCCAAGUUGGAUGGAGAAUAGGGAGAAGGGUGGCCCAAAAGACCUGAAACAUCUUAUGCUGUGGAGAUUCGGUCAGCAGGGACCUCCUCAAUUUGUAGAGGCUUUCCCUCGACUUCGUGUGCUCCAUCUUAGGUGCUGCAGCUGGGAUGCCUUACCAGGCAAUAUGAGGGACCUCACAUCGCUGGUGGAACUGAUGAUCAAUGCAUGCCCAAAUAUCCGAUCACUCCCAACACUACCGCAGUCUGUUUUGAGCUUUGAUCUUCAAGAUUGCAAUGUUGAGUUCAUGAAGUCCUGCAGGGAACCCGGACAUGAAAACUAUGAAAAGGUUAAGCACUUAUGGAGGAGAUGUCCUGCUGACCCACGACGAUCAUUUGACAAAUUGCUUGGGAAAGAUUGGGACAAGAAUCUGUGA